CUACGUGCCAGCAGCCGCGGUAAUACGUAGGUGGCAAGCGUUGUCCGGAAUUAUUGGGCGUAAAGCGCGCGCAGGCGGAUUGGUCAGUCUGUCUUAAAAGUUCGGGGCUUAACCCCGUGAUGGGAUGGAAACUGCCAAUCUAGAGUAUCGGAGAGGAAAGUGGAAUUCCUAGUGUAGCGGUGAAAUGCGUAGAUAUUGGAAGGAACACCGAUGGCGAAGGCAGCUUUCUGGGUCGAUACUGACGCUCAUGUGCGAAAGCGUGGGGAGCAAACAGGAUUAGAUACCCUGGUAGUCCACGCCCUAAACGAUGUCAACUAGGCGUCGGGUUGUUAAAGACUCGGUGCCGGAGCUAACGCAUUAAGUUGACCGCCUGGGGAGUACGGUCGCAAGAUUAAAACUCAAAGGAAUUGACGGGGACCCGCACAAGCGGUGGAUGAUGUGGAUUAAUUCGAUGCAACGCGAAAAACCUUACCUACGCUUGACAU
rnacentral:rRNA from 1 species